rnacentral:tRNA from 1 species
AGUUAAUUAGCUAAUUAAGCAUGUGCCUUGAAAACACAAUCAUAGAAAUUAAACCUUCUAUUAACUU